ensembl:lncRNA
AAACAGCUUAAUCAUCCAUCUACCUGUUGAGUUGUUGUUGGUCGAGGCAUAAAGACAAUGCAGGUAAAGUACCUGUCUAAAAUGGCCGAAAUAUCUAAAAGUGGCAAUGUAAGACAAGGCUGACACUAUAAGUUUUCAACAGACCGAUUUAAGUCCACUCAGAAUGUUUAGACAGGGCCCCAUUGGGAAGUGGGUGUCCCAUACUCAUUGCCAAUGUUCUAAAGUGCUGUCUAUCAAGGAGAAAAUCUGCCCCGUGAUUUACCAGUAACAAUAACUAUAUAUGGUGUUUGCUUUACUUGGGCUCUAUGCGGUACCAUGUCAGUUCUGACAGUACAUUUAGUUCUGUAAGCCCCACCCUGCAACCAGUUGAGAGUAGAGCAGCUCCUCUUUUGUGUGAGAGUGUGUCAGACGACGGAUAACUAGAGGUCUCUUUUCUAACGCUUAGCACUCUGUUGGUAGAGGAUGAGUGCACAGGUCCCCUGUGCUGCGGUACAACUCCGUAUGGUGUAGAGGACCGAGGGGUGCUGUGCUGUAACCAGACCUUGCACCAUGUGGUGGAGGAUGGGUACCAGUGCUCCCCAGGUGGCCACUUGUAUCUGCCAUCCCGUGAGAUGGUGUGUGGCUCACGAGUUCAUCUGAACGAUCCAGGCAAACACUGCUGUGGGGAGGAGACAUACUACCCUCGGAAUGAAAUCUGCUGCAACGGACGCAAACACCACAGGUUGAGAAAUGUUUCCUGCUGCGGAGGGAAGGCCUACGACCCCAGCAGUGGACAGAUGAAGUGCUGUGCAGGGACUCUGUACAACCUGCAGGUUCAGGACAGGCUCCCAGGUGAGGCCCAGUGCUGUGGGAGUGUCCUGAUGGAGGCCGGCUCCACCCAGACCUGCUGUUCUGCCCAAGGGCUAGACCUGCUCUACCCUACCCAGCCAGGGUUCACCUGCUGUGGGCACCGCUAUCCCAAUGCCUCCCUGUGGUCUUGCUGCGCCGGGGUCCUGCACCCAAGGCCUGAACCACACAACACCACCAAUAACGUGAUUCCAGGACCCAGACUUCUACCACUGGGGGAUCUGAAGACUGAAGUCCUGUGUCACAGCAGAAUUCUGGUAGGGACAGUGGAGAGUGUGUCCAUGAAGAUCAAUAAGCGGUCCAUCGUGAUGGUGAACGCCAUGUACAUGCUGGCCUCGCGUGGCCAUGUCAGCGCCGUGCCUUCCCCUCACUACGUCACAUUACCCGACCACUGCAGCUUCCCUGAACUGGUGCCGGGCAACACUUACAUCUGGGUGAAAAAUAAUUUCUCAGGCACCAUAAGAUUCAUCUCUGAUCUCAGCGACGAUUCCUUCCCUCUCCAUUCCAUCCUUACCAUGUGCUGAACCUUUUUCUUGCCCAGAGUAAAGCUCUACAUAAUGUUUGAAAGCUUUACAGUGUUUGUUUGCAAGUACAUUGUUAACAAUCAACGGUGUAAUAAAAAGCUCAUCUUGGGUUCAGAUGGGGUUCGACAAGUAGACAAUGUGUGUGAAGUGAAUAUCACAUUGUGCAGGAAAAAAAGCCUAUUUUAACCAAGCAUUUGUGUGUAGGUGUAUGACUUCACCAUGCAUCAAUUCAGGUGGUUUUGUGGGGGGUGGUUGCCUUUUUCCCAUCAUCAUACACGUACCACAUUAUCUGAUACUUGAUCACAGGAUCACAUUUUUGUUUGAUUAUUUCACUGCCAUACUGUGUUUGAUCUUGUCUAGCCAACUUGUCUCAAGUCCCAGACUUUAUUGUGUGUCAUCCUCAAUGUUUUUAUUCAUUUUAUUCAGAUGUUAUGAAUUUUGUCUUGUUGCUUUUUGUUCUGUUGCUCUGCGUGUGCUGAAACAUUGAUUAAUGUGCACUGUCCCUGUAAAAAAAAAAAAAAAAUUAAACUUAAUGUGCAUGCAUGGCUUUUAAGUUAUGUGUGCUUGUCUUUUUAAAUGGUCGAAUUAUUAAACUAAACUAAAGAAUGUUGUUUAAGAUUAAAGGAUCAACGGGAAUUGGAAGGUUGUUACAUGCUCGCCCACUCCUACAACUUGCCUCUGAGACUUGAAUGAAGCAAUGCAUAAACAUCCUAGG